ACAUUAAAUCGCGCAGUGGCAACACUAAUCGCAGCUGAUGAAGGACGUCGCUCUGUGUCGGUCGUUCUGCGAAAAAUCAAACAAACCACCAUAUUUGUUUCGUACUGCGCCACCAAGGCUCAGUGUGGAUUGUGUGUGAGGUGCCGGCGCGAUCGCCGUACUCGUGCACUGUGGCGAAAGUAACUCCGUACCCGAACAUGAGUUAUUCCGGCAGGAAUAAGUUCGAGAUAUCUCGCUUCUCGAAUGAGGAUGAGAACCACAUCAACAAGAAGCUGCCUAAGGAGCUCCUGCUGCGCAUCCUGUCUUACCUGGACGUGGUGUCGCUGUGCCGCUGCGCGCAGGUAUCAAAACUAUGGAAUAUUCUGGCGCUGGAUGGGUCCAACUGGCAACGGAUAGACCUGUUCGAGUUCCAGAGAGAUGUCGAGGGCCCGGUGAUCGAGAACAUAUCGCAGCGAUGCGGCGGGUUCCUGCGGCAGCUGUCGCUCCGCGGCUGCGAGAGUAUCGGGGACGGGUCCGUGAAGACGCUGGCCCAGGCCUGCCCCAACAUCGAGGACCUCAACCUCAACAAGUGCAAGAAGAUCACCGACCAGACCUGCCAGGCGCUUGGCCGCCGCUGCAACAAGCUGCAGAAAAUAAACCUGGACUCGUGUCCCAGCAUCACGGAUAUAUCUCUGAAGGCGUUGUCUGACGGCUGUCCCAUGCUGACGCACGUGAACGUGUCGUGGUGCCAGUCCAUCAGCGAGAACGGCGUGGAGGCGCUCGCGCGCGGCUGUCCCAAGCUCAGGAGCUUCAUAUGCAGAGGCUGUAAGAACGUGAACGACCGCGCGGUGUCGUGCCUCGCGACGUACUGCCCCGACCUCGAGGUGCUCAACGUGCAGGGCUGCGACUCGGUGACGGACGACUCCAUCUCGAAGCUGGGUGGGUCGCUGCGGCGCCUGUGUGCGUCGGGCUGCUCGCGGCUGACGGACGCGUCGCUCGCGGCGCUGGCGGCGCGCUGCCCCGAGCUCGCCACGCUCGAGCUGGCGCAGUGCGCGCAGCUCACCGACGCGGGCUUCCAGGCGCUCGCCAGGAGUUGCCGCAUGCUGGAGCGGAUGGACCUGGAGGAGUGCGUACUCAUCACGGACGCGACGCUCGUGCACCUCUCCAUGGGCUGCCCCAGGCUCGAGAAACUGUACUCUGUAGUGAGUGGUGUGCGCAGACGCUGUCGCACUGCGAGCUCAUCACCGACUACGGCAUCAAGCAGCUCUCCAUGUCGCCCUGCGCCGCCGAACACCUCACCGUACUCGGUCUGGACAACUGUCCGCUGGUGACGGACGGCGCGCUGGAGCACCUCAUCUCGUGUCACAACCUGCAGCUCAUCGAGCUGUACGACUGCCAGAUGGUCACCAGGAACGCCAUCCGGAAACUCAGGAACCACCUGCCGAACAUCAAGGUGCACGCGUACUUCGCGCCGGUGACGCCGCCGGCGGCGGGCGCGGGCGCGCGGCCGCGCUACUGCCGCUGCUGCAACAUCAUCUGAGCCGCCGUCACAGCCGCAGGCACGAGCCUCGGAGCCGCGCGCCGGUCAUGAUGGUGUCUGUAACGUGCGAGCUCUGGCGAGAGUUGCAUUUUCCGUCUGAGAGUGAGUCGAACGGUACAUUUGGCCGCGA
rnacentral:misc_RNA from 1 species